AUAGAAAUAGAAAUAUCAUUUGACCCAGCAAUCCCAUUACUGGUCAUACACCCAGAGGAUUUUAAAUCAUCCUGUUAUAAUGACACAUGCACAGGUAUGUUCAUAAC